rnacentral:lncRNA from 1 species
UUAAAUCAUCCUCUAAUAUUUAUCCUGUUGAAUAAGUAAAAAAAUGGGCAAUUUAAAAAAAAAUAUAUUCAUAAUAAAUAAAUAAAAUAGGAAAAACAGGCUGUAGUUCUCAGAAAUCAAGGAUUUUGUUUUAUAGGAUAAUAGAAUAUAAAAAAAAACAAACUUACAUGCUUGUUUGCUCUAUAUAUUGUUCCCUUUGAUUUGCUUGUCUUUUGGUGUGUACAUUUGUACAAGGUGUAAAGUAGUCUUUUUAACUACAAUUUGCAUUUUUCUUUUGUAAGAAUCUUUUUCAAGAAGCUUGUUUAAUGUAUUUUAAUAAACAUGAUCUAAGAAUAAGUGACUGUUGCAUACAAAUGUACAUGAAGGUUUCAUUUUUUCAUUUCAGGAUACAAAAGUUCACCUGACAACCAAAAGGAACUGCACACCAAGAGCCUUUAUCAUUCAAAAGAAGAUUGUUCCGCAAUGAAAAAUUCCUGUAUGAUAGGAGAUGGACUGACAAUUUCUGUUUUGUUGAGGAUAAAAAUCAUCAAAUUUUAUAAUUUUAUUUUUUGUUUGCAUUUAGUGAGACUUAAAAAUAAAUUAUUG